AACUUCAACUUGCCUCCAGAACAUUUUUUGUGUGCCCGAACAGCCGAAAAAUUCCUAACCGAAGUCCAAAAACGUCACAAAAUGUCAUCAUAAUAUAUUUACAAACUCUUCUGAGCUGUUCAUCUGGGAAGCAUGCGGACGCCUUUAGAUGACAAUGAAGCGUUUUAGGAUGCAAACAAAUAUAUUUGCAGUUUGGAUUAGGAGUGUUUUUAGCUCCUUGGAGGCCAUCUUGUUGUGAGAUUUCUUGUCACUGUGUCUCUAGCCCUAUUGGAAAGCCCGGCCCUCGAUUCUCCAGUGGCUUGUGUACUGUAGCAUGGUUCUCACUUAAUAGUAAAAUGUUUGUGUGUGUAUUGCAGAGUAGCCUGGUGGCAUUUUACAGUGGGGACAGUGACCCAGAGGAGGCAGCAGACCCAGAUCAGGGAGUUGGAGGUGAUGAGCGGUCAGACAGGCUGACAGACUGGAGGAAGUUGGCCUAUCUGCUCUGUCUCAGGCAGUUCCCUAGCGAAGACGCCCUGCUGCGGCACCAACAGCUUCAGACCUGCAGGAUGGCAAGCAGCAGGAUGACACUUUAAUCUCUAUGAGUCUGGGUGGAAAUAUUUUGGGUUAUUUUUAGCCCUGCCAUCUGCUCAGGGUGUGCAAUUGUCCUUUAGCAUAAACAAGCAAAACUUGGAAAUUCACAGACAAUCCAAACUAUUGGAAGCCGAGCUGGAGGAGUUGGAGAGAAAAUAUAUAGAGACAGGAACUAUGAGCAGACCACCAAAGACGGUCUGACUAAUGACAACAUUGGGAACAAGAUGCUGCAAGCAAUGAGCUGGCAAGAAGGCAUCAUUACGGACCAAGGGCACGCGCCUGGGCAUCAAGGGAAGCAACUACGAACUCUACGCAUCGGACACCUACAAGGACACCGUGCUCAAGGCCAUCUUUGCACGCUUCAUAGAGCUUGCGUGAACAGGGACUACAGCCGCCCCUUCCUUCCUCACCCCUACACCCUUACCCCAUUAUCCCCACCACUGUGAAAAUUAGAAGAACAAGAGGAGCAUGUACAUUUGUUAUUUAAAUCUUUUGUUUGGUUUACUUUAUUUGUUCUUCUUUUCUGUGGCCAUGUACAACAGCUACAAAUAAUUAAGAUAUCAGGCAUUCUAUUAACCACAGGCCAAGCUAGUUCUUGUCCAUUUUGUGUAUUUUUUUUCCCUUCCAUAUAUACUGAACAAAAAUAUAAAUGCAAGCAACACGUAU